AGCGCAGGCGGGAGGCCAAGUCCAUCCUAAAAGUUCGGGGCUCAACUCCGUGAGGGGAUGGAAACUGGUCUUCUUGAGUGCAGGAGAGGAAAGCGGAAUUCCUAGUGUAGCGGUGAAAUGCGUAGAUAUUAGGAGGAACACCAGUGGCGAAGGCGGCUUUCUGGACUGUAACUGACGCUGAGGCUCGAAAGCCAGGGGAGCGAACG
rnacentral:rRNA from 1 species